CGUGAGCCCAUAGGAAACCCCACAAGUGUGGGGCAGCAGCUCUCCAAGUGACCCCCAUAAACCCAUGGCAAACCCCAUAAAUGUGGGGCAGAGCAUCUCCAACAGACCCCCACGAACCCACAGCAAUCUCCAUAAGUGUGGGGCAGAAGGUCCCCAGGUGACCCCCGUGAGCCCAUAUGGAACCCCACAGAUGUGGGGCAGAACAUCUCCAACAGACCCCCAUCAACCCACAGCAAACCCCACAAGUGUGGGGCAGAAGGUCCCCAAGAGACCCCCGUGAGCCCAUAGGAAACCCCACAAGUGUGGGGCAGCAGCUCUCCAAGUGACCCCCAUAAACCCAUGGCAAACCCCAUAAAUGUGGGGCAGAGCAUCUCCAACAGACCCCCACGAACCCACAGCAAUCUCCAUAAGUGUGGGGCAGAAGGUCCCCAAGAGACCCCCGUGAGCCCAUAGGAAACCCCACAAGUGUGGGGCAGCAGCUCUCCAAGUGACCCCCAUAAACCCAUGGCAAACCCCAUAAAUGUGGGGCAGAGCAUCUCCAACAGACCCCCACGAACCCACAGCAAUCCCCAUAAGUGUGGGGCAGAAGGUCCCCAAGAGACCCCCGUGAGCCCAUAGGAAACCCCACAAGUGUGGGGCAGCAGCUCUCCAAAGACCCCCGUGAGCCCAUAGGAAACCCCACAAGUGUGGGGCAGCAGCUCUCCAAGUGACCCCCAUAAACCCAUGGCAAACCCCAUAAAUGUGGGGCAGAGCAUCUCCAACAGACCCCCACGAACCCACAGCAAUCCCCAUAAGUGUGGGGCAGAAGGUCCCCAGGUGACCCCUAUGAGCCCACAUGGAACCCCACAGAUGUGGGGCAGAAGAUCUCCAAUUGACCCCAGUGGGCUCACGGUGAACCCCAUAAGUGUGGGGCAGGCGGUCCCCAAGUGAUCCCCCAUAUCCUGCCCAGUACCCCCCAGUAUCCCACCCCCAUAUCUCCCAGUAUCCUCCAAUAUCUUCCAGUAUCCCCCACUAUCCCCCAAUAUCUCCCAGUAUCCCCCAGUUUCCCUCAUUAUCUCCCAGUACCCCCCAGUAUCCCCCAGUAUCCCUCAUUAUCUCCCAGUAUCUCCCAGUAUCCCCCAGUAUCCCCCAUUAUCUCCCAGUAUCCCACCCCAGUAUCUCUCAAUAUCUCCCAAUAUCUCCCAGUAUCCCACCCCAGUAUCUCCCAGUAUCCCCCAAUAUCUUCCAGUAUCCCCCAGUACCCUCAAUAUCUCCCAGUAUCCCACCCCAAUAUCCCCAGUAUCCCCCAGUAUCUCCCAAUAUCUCCCA
rnacentral:lncRNA from 1 species